UAUAGCACUGCUCUUACAACCUCCAUAGUUGGUGUUUGAACUAUUCUAGCAGCAGAAAACAAGAUGUCUUCAGAUAUUUACGCCAACCAAGAUUCAUUAAAAAAGGUGAGAUGCAAUCGAGGAGCAGAGGACAUGGAAAUCUAUGUGAAUGAGGAUUUUCAGUCACAGGAAGGAGUGCAGGCCGGAUGGUGUUGAAUGUACUGGAAAUAACUGAGGCCAGAUGUCAUACUUCCUGUGUCAGAAAAGCUGCCCGAGCGAGAAACAGACGGUGAAGACGGGUCAAAAAGAAGUUCAGUGAGUUUU
rnacentral:lncRNA from 1 species